rnacentral:miRNA from 1 species
CCUAAACUCACUUUGUAGCCCAGGCUGGCCUCAAACUCAAGGUGAUCCUCCUGCCUCUGCCUCUGAGUGCUGGGAU